GCGAGAUCGAGAGAUGGAGCAAAUCCCAAAAAUAAACGUCCCAGUUCGGACUGUAGUCUGCAACCCGACUACACGAAGCUGGAAUCGCUAGUAAUCGCGGAUCAGAAUGCCGCGGUGAAUACGUUCCCGGGUCUUGUACACACCGCCCGUCACACCAUGGGAGUCAGUAACGCCCGAAGUCAGUGACCUAACCGAAAGGGAGGAGCUGCCGAAGGCGGGACGGAUGACUGGGGUGAAGUCGUAACAAGGUAGC
rnacentral:rRNA from 1 species